rnacentral:rRNA from 6 species
GUGGGUAGUUUGACUGGGGCGGUCUCCUCCUAAAGAGUAACGGAGGAGCACGAAGGUUGGCUAAUCCUGGUCGGACAUCAGGAGGUUAGUGCAAUGGCAUAAGCCAGCUUGACUGCGAGCGUGACGGCGCGAGCAGGUGCGAAAGCAGGUCAUAGUGAUCCGGUGGUUCUGAAUGGAAGGGCCAUCGCUCAACGGAUAAAAGGUACUCCGGGGAUAACAGGCUGAUACCGCCCAAGAGUUCAUAUCGACGGCGGUGUUUGGCACCUCGAUGUCGGCUCAUCACAUCCUGGGGCUGAAGUAGGUCCCAAGGGUAUGGCUGUUCGCCAUUUAAAGUGGUACGCGAGCUGGGUUUAGAACGUCGUGAGACAGUUCGGUCCCUAUCUGCCGUGG